rnacentral:lncRNA from 1 species
GUACAUUUUAUUUUAUUGCAUUUUAUUUAUGUAUGACAGUUGUAUCUUACAUUUCGUUUAAGUCAAUGUUCACAGAUGUCUUCAAGUGAGUCUGAUGAAUCUAAUGAGUCUCAUGGUGAAUUUUUUUUAAUAUGGUUGAGAGCUGUGGUAAGCUAGCACAAAGUUAUCAUGACUCAUAUGUGGAUAAGGCACCGUCGAGGUUUAUGUUUUCACAACAAAGUGGAAUG